GGACAACAGAAAGAAGACGCCAUACAAACAGCUGUGACUGAGGCCAGAUUGUUAUUGGUGGAAUAAACGUUGAUUUCAUCGCUAAAGGAACAACAAAGAAAUUGGUGUUUGGUCAGACAAAUCCAGGAAGUGUUUGUCAGUCAUUUGGAGGUGUGGGCAGAAAUAUUGCUGGUAUCUCAGUUUGAGGAUCACCUUGCGUGAUGAUGUUACCAUCAAUAGUUCUUGAUGGUAACAUUCCAGUUUUGACCACUGAUUACGUGUGCUGUAUCGCCAAAAAACGUGCAGUCCCUGCCCACAGAUGCAGAUAAGGCCUGUAAGCCCUUCCUGUCAGAGAGCUGGAAAGCCCUAUCUUACACCACCCCCAACAUGGCUGAGCUCUGCACCAUGAAUCAUACACUAGAUCUACCCACUCCUACAGGUACCAGAGUUAGAAACCACCUAAAAUAAGCCAAAAAAAUAUUUUGAUUCAGAGUUGCCCAGAUCACUUGAUGAUGUCUUGGGCUGUAUACCAGCUCUGUCCUGCCCCCUGCUGGAGCAUCUGCAUUGUGUGGUGGUCACUUUAGGUGUGCUAGGUGUAAUGGUGUGUGGAGAACAUGAUGCUGGGACUGUAAAUUUGCAGCCA